rnacentral:lncRNA from 1 species
CCAAAAGAGACAUCACUGUUUGAAGUAGGACCGCUAUGCAUCCAGAGUGUUUUCACAUUGAAAGUUCUGUGGUGGUCCUUACCUGCAAUCAAAAAAAACAUGGUUGUUUAAAGUUCUUUUCGUUCUCUUUCUCUAUGGUCAUUGAUUGGAAAGCGAUUCAUCCUACUAGUAACUACCAUCAUUUCAUUUCUUGCCGUCAAAAGAAUGAAGCAUAUACUUACGGCGCUAGAUAUACUUGGUCUGAAAUGGUGCUUUUCUUGAAUCUUAACACAAAUUUCCGCUAGGAUCCAUGAGAUCUUUGCCGGAAAAGAAGAAAUAAUUGGAGAGCUACGAC